rnacentral:rRNA from 1 species
GACGAACGCUGGCGGCGUGCUUAACACAUGCAAGUCGAACGGUGAAGCGCUUGCCUUUUUGGUGGGUGUGGAUGAGUGGCGAACGAGUGAGUAACACGUGAGUAACCUGCCCUCUUCUUCUGGAUAACCUCAUGAAAGUGGGGCUAAUACGGGGUAUUCCGGGUCUGUCGCAUGGCGGGUUUGGGAAAGAUUGCGCCUUUGGGGGUUUUCGGUGGGGGAUGGGCUCGCGGCCUAUCAGCUUGUUGGUGGGGUGAUGGCCUACCAAGGCGGUGACGGGUAGCCGGCCUGAGAGGGUGGACGGCCACACUGGGACUGAGACACGGCCCAGACUCCUGCGGGAGGCAGCAGUGGGGAAUAUUGCACAAUGGGCGCAAGCCUGAUGCAGCGACGCCGCGUGAGGGAUGGAGGCCUUCGGGUGGUGAACCUCUUUCGCCAGUGAAGCAGGCCUGCUCCUGUGUGGGUGGGUUGACGGUAGCUGGAUAAGAAGCGCCGGCUAACUACGUG